rnacentral:lncRNA from 1 species
AUGAAUCUAUAAGGCUUCAACACUAAGCAAAAGCUGUUUCAUGUCGCUAAAAAAACGAAGCUUCACGUUUGGAACGGGCGAAUUCUAGGAUAACAACGUCUAUUUGUAUUGUUUCUUUAACUAGCGUGUUUUAGCAUGGAAACUAUUUUAAUGAACGUGUUAUCUAUAUGCCAAUUAUUACACUAGUUAUUAAUUUUCUAUGCUUCAACAAAAUCUCAGCGUUUACGCGACUUGUAUUAGCCGAGAGAUUCAUUGCGGAUAGUCUUGGCCUUUGGGAAACCACGAGUCUUCAUUGAGCUCUAGCACGGACUGCAAAUAAUGAGACGUAGCCAAAACGAUUCGCUCAGAGACGUUAACCAAUGGCCAGGCGAAAAGGUUCCAACUUGGACAGACGGCCGGAUACCUUGAACAUAAUUGCCAGGACAUAUAUGAUUUGUUUAAUCAUAACUACACCAGCAUCUAAUCAGGUAUUGAUUAAAGGUAAAUCAGAGAAUCUUUAGCAUGGAUUCAUCAGCCGAACAGUUAUUUGUGAGGCGAUUCAAUUUCAUGGCCCAAGUGAACGGAUGGCAUUUUGACCGUUGUUCAGGCCAGAGGAUAUGGUCUACUAUGAGUCACGAGCAACGCCAGCCAUAUGCUGAUCUCGAUCACCAAUUAGAAACUGUUGCGUGUUUGCAAAAAGAAUUAACCAAAGCCCGCCAACAGCUUUGUGAGCAAGCCCGGGCUUUAGGGUACGGAGACGAGGAGAUCGACUAUAUGCUCUUCUUGGCGCAGAGGCCCAAAAUCCCAUUUAAUGGAAAGGAAAGACAACAUUGAAUGAUUCUACGAGGUUUUCUUUAAUCGUCAACAGCUAUUGCCAAUAGAGAUUCAGUUAAAGUCGAACGAAAUGAGUUAUUCGAGUUCUUGAAGUGCUCGUCAGGUGAUCGGCUUCAAUAAUAAUGAUAUUAUCGAUGUAGUUCUCAAUCAUAUAUAUCCGUCACAUGCAGGACGGUAUACUAAAACUCACUGCCACAGCUACCGGUACGCGUGCGACUGGUCUCCAGUCAUGGUAAUUACAUGUACAUACUGCCGAAUGCGCCUAAUGGAACAACAUUAUAGGUUGUUACGGCCAACGACACAACAACAAAAAGGAUGUAUCAAGUAUCAUAAAAACGAAUAAGGAUGUCCGAACGCCUUCUGGCGGAAUAUACUACGCACGUUAUCACAACUAUCGGUCCGGUUUUCAGCUGCACGUCAUCAAACGGAAGUAAAGCGAUGCGGCAACGUCCAACCACCCGCAAGGUAUAAUUGACGGCCGUACAGAAACUUAGCCGAAAGGCUCAUUCAAUUAAUGAAUCGAUAACUUAGUGCUGUUAGAUAUUGCACAGAUGGUCCAAGUUUGCAUUAGCCACAAACGUACGUCAAUGAGUCGAUUUAAGCGGUCGACGGUAAGGGUCACUGAAGGAAAGCACGUCGAAUGAAGAAGGAAACGGCCGGUAUCUGUACGGAUCACUAUUGAAGCUACUGCAACCGUCACUGCGAAUGCUCGUUCUUAUAAAUGUUGAAGAGCAACCCACAACCCUCGUCGGCCUAACAAACUACGCUUCUCAGAUGGACGACCCUUGCUAUACACGUUGUUUCGAAGAAAAAAUUCUCAUGAACGCGCGUCAUACAUCGACUUUUACCAAGUACUACUAUUGACUACUGAGAACAACACUCGCCGUUCUAACCAUUCUGACCACUGCCGACGCGGCCUAUUCGAGUUGACGGCCCCUGCAAGCGACAUAUGAGCAUGCAUGUACGAAUUCUUGUUGCAUAUCCGCCGGCCAAGUGAGGCUUUCAAGACAUGUUGCACCGGCCAUUUCCACCAUCAGUCGUACUUUGCCGCGCCGUUAACUCCUACAUUUUUUGCAUCUUUUUUUGUUUUCACGUCUUCGCGGCUGUCAUUUUGUGAGUGCGAUCGCAACAGUAUCAGUAGCGUCCAUUGGUACGCUCCUCCACACAUAUGCUUAAGUAAC